rnacentral:rRNA from 1 species
GACGAACGCUGGCGGCGUGCCUAAUACAUGCAAGUCGAGCGAAGCGGCGGAUGGGUGAGUAACGCGUGGGUAACCUGCACUUAAGUCUGGGAUACCAUUUGGACACAGAUGCUAAUACCGGAUACUAAAGGAUGGACCGGCGAUGCAUUAGCUAGUUGGUAAGGUAACGGCUUACCAAGGCGAUGAUGCAUAGCCGGUUUGAGAGGCUGAUCAGCCACAUUGGGACUGAGACACGGCCCAAACUCCUACGGGAGGCAGCAGUGGGGAAUCUUGCACAAUGGGCGAAAGUCUGAUGGAGCAACGCCGCGUGUGUGAAGAAGGUUUUCGGGUCGUAAAGCUCUUUUGUUGGGGAGGCGGUACUCAAACAAAAAGUCACGGCUAACUCCGUGCCAGCAGCCGCGAUAAUUC